rnacentral:rRNA from 1 species
UACGAAGGGUGCAAGCGUUACUCGGAAUUACUGGGCGUAAAGCGUGCGUAGGUGGUUUGUUAAGUCUGUUGUGAAAGCCCCGGGCUCAACCUGGGAAUGGCAAUGGAUACUGGCAAGCUAGAGUGCGGUAGAGGGUAGUGGAAUUCCCGGUGUAGCAGUGAAAUGCGUAGAGAUCGGGAGGAACAUCAGUUGCGAAGGCGGCUCUCUGGACCAGCACUGACACUGAGGCACGAAAGCGUGGGGAGCAAACAGG